rnacentral:SRP_RNA from 2 species
GGCCGGGUCCCGGGGAACGACGGAUCGUAAACCCCGUCAGAUCCGGAAGGAAGCAGCGGUAGCGUUUCCGGCGUUUGCUCCGGGGUCGCCCGGCCGUC